ACGAAGGGGGCUAGCGUUGUUCGGAAUUACUGGGCGUAAAGCGCACGUAGGCGGGUCGUUAAGUCAGGGGUGAAAUCCCGGAGCUCAACUCCGGAACUGCCUUUGAUACUGGCGAUCUAGAGAUCGAGAGAGGUGAGUGGAAUUCCGAGUGUAGAGGUGAAAUUCGUAGAUAUUCGGAAGAACACCAGUGGCGAAGGCGGCUCACUGGCUCGAUACUGACGCUGAGGUGCGAAAGCGUGGGGAGCAAACAGGA
rnacentral:rRNA from 1 species